rnacentral:lncRNA from 1 species
ACAAACUCUGGCAGCUCCUGUCUGACUGAAUCUUACUUACUGUGCAUUUUGGAUGUCACUGCUGUUAAAGUUUGAUUGUGUAGUGUUAGAUGUGGCAGAAAUGUUUAUCCUGUAACUUAUAAUGUCUCCAGAGGACAAUAAAAUGGGCAUGGAUUAUUUUUUUCUGCCUGGCAGGAUACUGGAAAUAAGCUCCUAUAGUGGAAAGUUUGCUGUGAGCAGGGCAGGCUGGUGCAGAGCUACUUGCUGUUCCCAGUCAUUUUGGCAACGUGGAGCAUGAGCUGCAGAACAGGGAGUGCUGACAGUGUGGAUGAACGGGUGCAUUGCUUUAUCUCAGACUUGGAUGCAGAAGAAUCACACAAUCACAGAAUCCCAGAAAUGCAGGGAUUGGAAGGGACCUCAAGAGAUCAUUGAGUCCGGCUGUAACAGGUUCCCUACAAGAAGCUGCACAGGGACAGAAAUAACCAAGAGUGAAAAAGAUGUCUCGGUGGCCAACUAGUUUUACAGAUCUUCCCUGGAUGUUUUUGCAUUUGCUAAGAGAUUGCCAACCAUCCACUUGACCCUGCACCUCUGCACUUCUGAUUAACUCAAACUGGACCCAACUUUGCUGAAGAAUCACAGAAUUGCAGGGGUUGGAAGAGACUUCAGGAGAUUGAGUCCAACCCCCCUGCUAAAACAGGCACAGGCAGAGCUCCCACGGAGAAACAUGGGAGGCCCAAAAUGAAUGAUGGAGGAUGGAGGCUUUCAAACAAAGAAACCACAGAUGGAGGCAAGGGAAGACUGUGCUUCUGCCAUACAAAAAGUUCCACUGAGGUGACUACCUCCAAAGACAUUCUGAAGAUAAUUGAGUAAGUGGGUGCGUACCUAUGUACAGAAUAGCAAAAGGCGUUUUGCCCUGUUCUACUUGCUGAACAAUGUUUGCUUGAGAUGUUACAGCAAGGUGAAAAGUUUGUAUUUCCUGCUCCUGCAUUUUAGGCACUGCAUUAUUUCUUCUUAUAUUCACCACUCUUUCACAUGAAGAUAAAGUAGCUGAACAACAGGAGGAAUUAAUAUGACUGUUUUGUUAUUGAAAAAUGCUCAUUAUGGAACUAAGCAUAAAAAUAUUAGUUGAUUUAAACCGACAGAUUGUAACUCUGGAGGAAAUGUAAAGGACCUAGGCUAAACGGCAACAUCUCCAUAUUCUCUUAGAACAAUGCCUUUGGUUAAGUUAAAACUGUGAAAUUGGCCUGGAUCUAUUAGUGACAGCUAUAUUUUAUUAUGAGGCUCAGUUAUAUAAUAAAUGUCAAUCAUUUGUUUUCUUUUAUUGUUUUAAUCAGAAAGGCUUGAAUGCUUGUGAAGAGUCUAAGGGAAAGGGAGUCAUUUGUGUCAGUAAUUUAAUAUCAGAUUUUGUGAGUAAAGAUAAAUGCUGCAUUUAGUUUUGAAAACCAGACACAAGGGCCAGACUACUCCAAUAUAUUCCCUUUUUACUCCUGUUCUAUCACUGAAUCUGGGAUAUACUACUUUCUAUAGAACCACUGAAGAGGCUGGUAAUUUUCAUUCUAUCAUGUUAUAUUAACAGCGUGUCCUUCCCUGUAUCUUUGACCUUGAUGUAUGGAUGUCAGCAUCUGUAAUAUUUUUUCUUUGAAAACACAAAUCCAGGAUGUGUAGAAUUAUAGCGUACCUCUCUGAACUCUUUAAAU